CUUUGGACACGAAGAUCAGAGGGCGGUCAGGCUCGCUCACGAUCUGGCUCUGGAAAAGUUCGAACGCCGGCGAGACCUUGUACAUGGCCAGCUAGCUGAGUCGCGCUGAACAGGCUGUCGAUCAGUCCGACGUCAACGCGCUUGCACAGGAAGGGCGAAGGUCUGGCCGGGAUAAAUAAGAUCUGGAUUUCGGAUCUGGUCCCGGUUUGCUUUGAAA
rnacentral:misc_RNA from 1 species